rnacentral:lncRNA from 1 species
AUGUAUAACAUUGAGCGUUUUUCAGAACAGAAUCACUUCCCCGUUCAGAACCUCCCCGUCGGAUCCUCCAAAGGAGAUCGUUCUUCAGAACACAGUCACUUUUCCAUUGGAUCCUCUAAAGGAAUUGAUGAUCAUGCUUCAUCUAUAUCACUGGCCCAACUUUCAAAGUCUGAAGGAGACGUACACUUGCUGCUGCUUACACUCGUACGUUACACACACACACACACACACACACUCGUACGUUACACACACACACACACACACUCGUUCGUUACACACACACACACACACACACACACACACACACACUCGUUCGUUACACACACACACUCAUACGUUACACACACACACACUCGUCCCCGAACACACAUCCUGAAGAAUGAAGUGUUCGCCUCGUUUUUUUCCCUUCUCUCUCUAAAUGAAGACUCAACGGGUUGUCUUUGUUUGUUUUGCUCAUACGUGACCUUUCACCCCUAGGACACUAAUUUAUAAACAAACCUGUUAUCAAUCUUGCUUUCAAAUCUUAUUGAAGCCCAUGUAACAACUUUUAAAAAAACAUUUCAACAAUCCUCUCUACUGCACCAUGCUUUGUCAGCACACUGUGUUUUUGAAGAGAUUUACUUCAUAUAUAUAUACACAUUUAGCAGAUGUAAUUUAUCCUCAAAUAUGUCGUUUGCUGAAGUAAAACACAAACCUACAGUGUGAACCACGGACGUGAUUCUUGGUUGAACCCUUCUGUUGUUGUGAUGGAACUGAUUUUGUUAUUGUUGGUUAUAUAUAUUUAUUUAUACCUUGUGACGUUCAACCAGAGAACAGCAUUUACUACUUUUAAUGGUGUUAACAGGCUGUGAUGACAGUGAGCUGUUAAAAGGACUGUGUUUUGAUUGGGUAGCUGGAAUGUGGGAGUGUGAAUGUUUUAUCCAAUAAAACGUCUCUUAGACCCCUGACCGUUUAUGCGUGUAGCUGUGAUUGGGUAGCUGGAAUGUGGGAGUGUGAAUGUUUAAUUUAAAUGUGUUGUUUUAUCCAAUAAAACGUCUCUUAGACGAAGGAUAAUAUCUGUUUUCUCCCCCAGUGGAUUUACACUUCCUGUCCUUUUUCUAAAAUAAUUUUUUAUUU